rnacentral:rRNA from 1 species
CAGUAGCCGCGGUAAUACGAAGGGUGCAAGCGUUAAUCGGAAUUAUUGGGCGUAAAGCGUGCGUAGGCGGUUUGUUAAGUCUGCUGUGAAAUCCCCGGGCUCAACCUGGGAAUGGCAGUGGAUACUGGCAAGCUAGAGUGUGUCAGAGGAUGGUGGAAUUCCCGGUGUAGCGGUGAAAUGCGUAGAGAUCGGGAGGAACAUCAGUGGCGAAGGCGGCCAUCUGGGACAACACUGACGCUGAGGCACGAAAGCGUGGGGAGCAAACAGGAUUAGAGACCCGCGUAGUCCCUGUCUCUUAUAC